rnacentral:rRNA from 1 species
ACGAAGGGGGCUAGCGUUGUUCGGAAUUACUGGGCGUAAAGCGCACGUAGGCUGAUAGUUAAGUGAGGGGUGAAAUCCCGAGGCUCAACCUCGGAACUGCCUUUCAUACUGGCUGUCUCGAGUCCGGAAGAGGUUAGUGGAAUUCCUAGUGUAGAGGUGAAAUUCGUAGAUAUUAGGAAGAACACCAGUGGCGAAGGCGGCUAACUGGUCCGGUACUGACGCUGAGGUGCGAAAGCGUGGGGAGCGAACAGGA